rnacentral:rRNA from 1 species
AGUGAACGCUGGCGGUAGGCCUAACACAUGCAAGUCGAACGGCAGCACAGUAAGAGCUUGCUCUUACGGGUGGCGAGUGGCGGACGGGUGAGGAAUACAUCGGAAUCUACUUUUUCGUGGGGGAUAACGUAGGGAAACUUACGCUAAUACCGCAUACGACCUACGGGUGAAAGCAGGGGAUCUUCGGACCUUGCGCGAUUGAAUGAGCCGAUGUCGGAUUAGCUAGUUGGCGGGGUAAAGGCCCACCAAGGCGACGAUCCGUAGCUGAUCUGAGAGGAUGAUCAGCCACACUGGAACUGAGACACGGUCCAGACUCCUACGGGAGGCAGCAGUGGGGAAUAUUGGACAAUGGGCGCAAACCUGAUCCAGCCAUACCGCGUGGGUGAAGAAGGCCUUCGGGUUGUAAAGCCCUUUUGUUGGGAAAGAAAAGCAGCAGGUUAAUACCCCGCUGUUCUGACGGUACCCAAAGAAUAAGCACCGGCUAACUUCGUG